UCCCUGGUGGUUCAGUGGUUAGGACUCCAUGCUCGCAGUGCCGAGGGCCCAGGUUCAACCCCUGGUUGGGGAA
rnacentral:tRNA from 1 species